AUUGAACGCUGGCGGCAUGCCUUACACAUGCAAGUCGAACGGUAACGCGGGGCAACCUGGCGACGAGUGGCGAACGGGUGAGUAAUGUAUCGGAACGUGCCCAGUAGUGGGGGAUAGCCCGGCGAAAGCCGGAUUAAUACCGCAUACGACCUAAGGGUGAAAGCGGGGGAUCGCAAGACCUCGCGCUAUUGGAGCGGCCGAUAUCAGAUUAGUUAGUUGGUGGGGUAAAAGCCUACCAAGGCGACGAUCUGUAGCUGGUCUGAGAGGACGACCAGCCACACUGGGACUGAGACACGGCCCAGACUCCUACGGGAGGCAGCAGUGGGGAAUUUUGGACAAUGGGCGCAAGCCUGAUCCAGCCAUGCCGCGUGCGGGAAGAAGGCCUUCGGGUUGUAAACCGCUUUUGUCAGGGAAGAAAAGCCUCGAACUGAUACUUUGGGGUAAUGACGGUACCUGAAGAAUAAGCACCGGCUAACUACGUGCCAGCCGCCGCGGUAAUAC
rnacentral:rRNA from 1 species